rnacentral:lncRNA from 1 species
GAGCUGUCGCCUCCGCUCGCACCGCGGACCCAGGCGUGCGACCCAGGCCGUGGGGGAAGCGCCCCGCAGAGCACACUUUCCGUUCUGGAAGCGAGGAGCCUUAGCCGCGGGGAUCUGCUCUGUAGUGAGUGGUAGCUGAGAUCAGAGUUAGCGAGGAACUUCCUGAGUUCUUGGCUGAAAAGCCUAUUAACUCGGGAGUCUGGCCACCACCUUGAACGGCAGGUGCCAGCUUAGGCCGGUUCUGCAGCUUUACUGCUGCAAAAGCCCCGCAGAAAGUUAACUGCUUUAGUCAACGUGGUUUUGAGAACCAGCUCUGCCACCAUCACUUCAGAUAAAUUACCAAAAAGGGGCGUGGGGAUGUGUAGAGUCCUCUCUAUGUAGACAUGAUAAAUGGAUACAAUAAUGGUUACUAAUUUUUAAGUCCUUUACAUUCAAUAAUGCCUGAUCUGUAGGACUCUGGUAUGAGGUACAAACGAACUUGUAGAAACGCGUUGGCAAACGCAGUGUCGUCUUCUUCUUCUUCUUCUUCUUCUUCUUCUUCCUUCUUCUUUCCUCCUCCUCCUCCUCCUCCUCCCCUCUUCUUCUUGUUCCUAAUGGGGAUAGAACCCAGGGUCUUGUGCAUACUGGUACUAGCAUGCCUACUAUGUUAAGCUACAGUUCCAGCUUGUAAAAUAACUUUUAAAUGGAGACUGCUGUUAGCGGAAUCACUAUGCUGCUGAAAAAUGUCACAUUUCAGUACUUGGGACACCACCGAAUAACCAGACAAGAUUUGAAAUCUGGAAACAUCAACUAGAGAUGAAUUUUGGAGAAGAACUCUUUCCCAGCUUUAUCAAAAAACUUAGGACAAGCCAGUCAUGGUUGCACACACCUUCAGUCCCAGCACUCAGGAGGCAGAAGCAGGCAGACCUCUGAGUUCCCAGACAGCUAGGCUACACAGAGAAACCCUGCCUUGAAAACAAAACAAAACAAAAAAAAGCUUAGGACAACUGUAAAGGAUGAGACCAUGUUAAAGAAAUGUUAAUACUAAUUGUCUUAAUCUUAAUCUUAUUAAAAGUCAGACAGCUUAUGUAUUGAAAAAAUGGGUUUCUAUGUAAGAUGUUUCUAUGCAGGAAAUUAACCUUCUACAUGGGAAGAAUAUUUCUCAGAAAAAUGUUAAGUUUCUAUAUAGAAGGAAUAUUUCUCAGCUGAGUGUGGUGGCACAGGCCUGGAAUUGCAGUACUUGAAAGGCCAAGACAGAAGGAUCUCAAAUUCAAGACCAACCGAGGUUUCAGAGCAAAUUGAAUGUCAGCCUGGAAUACAAAGUGAGAGCUGUUGGUUGAAAUACAGAAGAAGAAAAGUAUUUGUGAACAUUUCUCUGAUUAGGCUAGAAUACCAGAACCAGGUAGCAGCAUUUUAAUUUGAAAUCCACAAAUGAAGUGGAAAUUUCUGGUUUCUUUGGAGACUCAGUUGUGUCGUGUGAUGUUUUUCUGGAAACAUCUCAUGAGAGGAUGUUUUGCUAAGAGCAGACGCUUGGUGUUUUUCUGAAAGCUGCCUGUAAAGGGGACAUGUGAUGUUUUGCUGGGGCAGAUGCUUGAGAGGGCAUGUGAUGUUAGGGAAGGGGAUAAGUAUAACCCAACAGGCAGUGGGCACCGUUGUGGCGUUGGUUCACCUUGCCUUCUUCACUGAUCAUGGUUUGUCAUGACUUUGUAGAGACAAACACACCACAAAACUUUUCUUAAUAUUCAGGUGGCUUCUUGCCACUUCUGCUGACUCUAGCUGGCAGAGCUGGAGGUUUCUUCUGCAUGAACUGCCCUUGCUGAUUUGUUAAUGGUGUAUGCGAGUGGAUGGAGCUACUCUGCUGAUUUGUGUGACCUGAACUACUGAGACCCUGACUACAAAGACUGGAAUCGCCCCAAAGAACUAUUUCCAAACAGGUCCACAUCCCCCUAUGCCCUCUUAACCUUUCCUUCCCACUACCCCUGGUGGGUGGUUGGCUAGAAGGGAGGUUAAAGGGUUUAAGAACCCUCAUUAAAAGUAGGUUUUGAAAAAAAUCUAAGCCUACACAACCUACGUGAUUUGGAGGGGAAAUGCCAUAAGUUUAUUUCUACAGAAGUGCAGUCUAUUUUUAUCCUUAAUUGCUUUUAAUUAUAGUGAGUAGUGAUGAAGUAAAAUGAUUUGGGGACAUUAAAGAGUGGAUGUGGGACUUUCAGGCAAUUAUCUGUAUUAUCCUUGUCUUUCAAUAUAAAGUUUAUUUCAAUGGCAUGAGAUUAAAGUGUGAUCCUGAGAGGUCAGAGUUGUUGGUUUUGAAGCCCAGCUCCAGGACCUGCCUGCUGUGUGAACCUGGGCAGUGUUCAGCCCCUGUCUGUGUAAGUUUCAUCAUCUGUAAUACAGAUUUUUUUUUUCCAACUGUGGGGGUUUUGCUCAUCGUUUUCCUUCUCGGUUCCUUCACAUUUCUCUAAUCUGGUGGUCACUGAAAGUUAGGGCAGACUUUCACUGUUAAAUUGAAGCAUAAUUUUUCAAGGUUUAGAACUUGAGAUGGGAAGAUGUUUUUCUCUCUUAACAUGUAAAAUAGUCCACUCUGCUCUUCUUUUUGCACUGCUUCUGACCUCUUCUUCUAUAGUGAGUUUUCUCAUCACCAUGUAUGGUGUGUUUUUUACACCAUGGCUGUAUUGUUUUGUUUUGUUUUUACUUAAGUUUU